GGGGUUCCAGGACAGAGCCCCCGUUGCCGUGUUCUAAGGUCAGUGCUGUUAAGGGGACUUAUUGCUCGUAAAGCAGUGGGUUAAGGAUCCGGCGUUGCUGGGAGCAGUGGCGUAGGUCGCAGAUGUGGUUCAGAUCUCUAGUUGCUGUGGCUGUGGUUAAAAAGUCAUAAAUAAAUAAAUAAAUAAAUAAAUAAAUAAAUAAAUCUGAUAAGUGUUUUAACAUUUGAGAAACUGAUUUCUGUUGAUCCUCCUGAAAGAUAAAGUGGCGGGCCUAGAAGAAUCAGGUCUGAGAGAAGAGCGCAGUGGUGGAAGGGCCACCUCUGCCGUGUGUUGAACUGAACUAUAAAGCUUCACAUCCGACACAACACUUGACAGCCGUCUGUACACACAACAGGUGCACCAGGUUUAAGGCCCUGUUGUCUUUGAGCAUUUAAUAGAUGAUGAAGGAGGUACCCGAAGCAGAGGGGAGAGGAAACCUGAUUUAAUAAGUGCGACGGAGACCACGUGAUAGCAGUUUGAAAAAUCUCAGCAGAUACUAUCACCUGACAUCCUCGCGAGCCCAGCAUAAAUUCUGCCUGAUUGGAAUGUCAACGUCACCAAAAGUCUGUCGAGUACAUUCAGUGCGAACAAAACAGGCGGAAGCCCCUACCCUGAAGCCUCCUGCAUUUCAGUUGGUAAAGGUAAAUUUGUCAAUGGGCAGGAAAAAAAAGAAAAAUCCAUUUUUAGAAAAAGCUUGAAGCUAAAAGUGGAUAUUCAGUCUCUGGAGGGGUUGAAAUUUCUAAGCUUGGAAUCUGUCAAAGCAAUCACCGAGGAAAAUAUCAGUCGUUUUGUCAGUGUAACAUUGCAUCGAUGCUGUUUCUGGGUGUCCUAGCAGUUAUUUCUAAGUUUUUCUAUCUAACAUCAAGCAGUGUCUGAAUUUGAGGAUCAGUUCGCCAAAGUAGCAUGAGUAGGCCAAAGGCUAUGGAUAUUUAUCAGGUUCCAGAUAUAUACCCUCAGGUUAAUUUCCCUUCGUAAGUAUUUUUAUAUUAAACAGACCACCUAGAUAAAGAUUUAAAAUCACCUGCCCAUUCAGUCGGGAAGGGAAAGAGUUCCUCCAGGUCUGGGGGCGGGUGAGGAACACCGUGCCCGAGGGCCACGCGCCGUCUGUCUGUGCCAGGGACUCCCGAAGUUGUAUCUUUACCCAGAUUUCUUUUUUGAGCUCCGAAGUCAUAAAGCCAGCAUCCUAUGCACCAUCUCCAUUGGGGUGUCUCGCGAGCAUCUCAGACUCUCCGUGUACAAAGAAAAGAAAGUCUUGGUUCCCGCUGUGGCACAGUGGGAUCGGUGGCGUCUCUGCAGCACCAGGACACAGGUUCGAUCGCCAGCCCUUCGCAGUGGGUGAAAGGAUCUGGCGUUGACACAGCUGUGGUGUAAGUCGCAACUUUGGCUCGGAUCCCUGACCAGGGAACUCCAUAUGCUGAGAGGUGGCCAAAAAAGGAAAAAAAAAACUUGGUCAACUGUCUGAAAUAUGUGCUCCUUCUGGAAAUCUUUAUUUCCAUAAACCGCAUCUUCUUCCGCCCCGUAGUUCCCCUCAGAAACCUGACAGUCAUCCUGACUCCUUUUUCCUUCACAUGUAAUCUGUUGCCGAAUUUUAUUGAUUGCGCCUCUCAAAUAUAGCCAUCCUUGCUUUUCACUGUAGCCGUGGCCUGUGAAGUCACUGCAGAUGCUGGAUGAACCACUGCGCCUUGGAUUAGCUUCCUGUGAGUCGCUGGUCAUAUUCUCAACUGAUCAGUAUGUAACCUUGUUUUAUGUGUGUUUGUGUUUAAAGACACCUAUUUAAUAUAUAUUGUUGAUUGAUUAGCAUUGAAUUUGCAGCCCACAGCACUAUAACUCAUGCCCGAAUGAAGCUUGCCUAACACAUGUAUUUUCCUGAAAGAUACAUCACCACCUGCUUGCAUUUUGGAACUCUAGACAGCCCGUCAUCACUGUGCUUGCGGAUCAUUUAAAAAUUCCCAACAGGAGUUCCCGUUGUAGCUCAGCUGGUUAAGAACCUGACUAGUAUCCAUGAGGAUUCGGGUUCAAUCCCUGGCUCUCAGCGGGUGGAGGAUAUGGCUUUGCCAUGAGCUGCAGUGGAGGUUGCAGAUGCAGCUCGGAUCGGGCAUGGCUGUGGCUGUGGCAUAGGUCGGCGGCUAUAGCUCCAAUUCGGCCCCAACCUGGCAACUUCCAUGUGCUGUGAGUACAGCCCUAAAAAGCAAAAAAAAAAAAAAAAA
rnacentral:lncRNA from 1 species